UACGGAGGGUGCAAGCGUUAUCCGGAUUCACUGGGUUUAAAGGGUGCGUAGGUGGGCAAGUAAGUCAGUGGUGAAAUCUCCGGGCUUAGCCCGGAAACUGCCAUUGAUACUAUUUGUCUUGAAUACUGUGGAGGUCAGCGGAAUAUGUCAUGUAGCGGUGAAAUGCUUAGAUAUGACAUAGAACACCAAUGGCGAAGGCAGCUGGCUGCACAAAUAUUGACACUGAGGCACGAAAGCGUGGGGAUCAAACAGG
rnacentral:rRNA from 1 species